UACGAAGGGGGCUAGCGUUGCUCGGAAUCACUGGGCGUAAAGCGCACGUAGGCGGACAUUUAAGUCAGGGGUGAAAUCCCAGAGCUCAACUCUGGAACUGCCUUUGAUACUGGGUGUCUUGAGUAUGGAAGAGGUGAGUGGAAUUCCGAGUGUAGAGGCGAAAUUCGUAGAUAUUCGCAAGAACACCAGUGGCGAAGGCGGCUCACUGGCCCGGUACUGACGCUGAGGCACGAAAGCGUGGGGGAGCAAACAGG
rnacentral:rRNA from 1 species